rnacentral:rRNA from 1 species
UACGUAGGGUGCAAGCGCUGUCCGGAAUUAUUGGGCGUAAAGAGCUCGUAGGCGGUCUGUCGCGUCGGCUGUGAAAUCCCGAGGCUCAACCUCGGGUCUGCAGUCGAUACGGGCAAACUAGAGUAUUGCAGGGGAGACUGGAAUUCCUGGUGUAGCGGUGAAAUGCGCAGAUAUCAGGAGGAACACCGGUGGCGAAGGCGGGUCUCUGGGCAAUAACUGACGCUGAGGAGCGAAAGCGUGGGGAGCGAACAGG